UACGUAGGGUGCAAGCGUUAAUCGGAAUUACUGGGCGUAAAGCGUGCGCAGGCGGUUUUGUAAGUUUGUCGUGAAAGCCCCGGGCUCAACCUGGGAAUUGCGAUGGAGACUGCAAGGCUAGAAUCUGGCAGAGGGGGGUAGAAUUCCACGUGUAGCAGUGAAAUGCGUAGAGAUGUGGAGGAACACCGAUGGCGAAGGCAGCCCCCUGGGUCAAGAUUGACGCUCAUGCACCGAAAGGCGUGGGGAGCAA
rnacentral:rRNA from 1 species